CAAUAGCGUAUAUUUAAGUUGUUGCAGUUAAAAAGCUCGUAGUUGGAUUUCGGGUGGGACGCAGCGGUCUUGCAUUGCGUUUGUACUGCUGCAGCCCUCCUUCUUGCCGGGGGCGGCCUCUCGGACUUCACUGUCUGGGGGUCAGAAUCGGCGAUGUUACUUUGAGUAAAUUAGAGUGUUCAAAGCAAGCUUACGCUCUGAAUAUAAUAGCAUGGGAUAACACGACAGGACUCUGGCCUAUCGUGUUGGUCUAUAGGACCAGAGUAAUGAUUAAGAGGGACAGUCGGGGGCAUUCGUAUUCCGUUGUCAGAGGUGAAAUUCUUGGAUUUACGGAAGACGAACAUCUGCGAAAGCAUUUGCCAAGGAUGUUUUCAUUGA
rnacentral:rRNA from 1 species